GACGAACGCUGGCGGCGUGCCUAAUACAUGCAAGUCGAACGCAGUGGGGACGGGUGAGUAACACGUGGGUAACCUCCCAUCAGAGGGGAUAACCCUUGGAAACAGUUCCUAAACGGUUAUGGUGGGAGGGCCCCGCGGUGCAUUAGCUAGUUGGUGGAGUAACGGCUCACCAAGGCCACGAUGCAUAGCGGACCUGAGAGGUUGAUCGGCCACACGGGGACUGAGACACGGCCCAGACUCCUACGGGAGGCAGCAGUAGGGAAUCUUCGGCAAUGGACGAAAGUCUGACCGAGCAACGCCGCGUGAGUGAAGAAGGUUUUCGGAUCGUAAAACUCUGUUGUUAGAGAAGCGGUAUCUAACCAGAAAGCCACGGCUAACUACGUGCCAGCAGCCGCGGUAAUAC
rnacentral:rRNA from 1 species